rnacentral:rRNA from 1 species
UACGGAGGGGGCUAGCGUUGUUCGGAAUUACUGGGCGUAAAGCGCACGUAGGCGGCUUUGUAAGUUAGAGGUGAAAGCCCGGGGCUCAACUCCAGAAUUGCCUUUAAGACUGCAUCGCUUGAAUCCAGGAGAGGUGAGUGGAAUUCCGAGUGUAGAGGUGAAAUUCGUAGAUAUUCGGAAGAACACCAGUGGCGAAGGCGGCUCACUGGACUGGUAUUGACGCUGAGGCGCGACAGCGUGGGGAGCAAACAGG